UACGUAGGUGGCAAGCGUUGUCCGGAAUUAUUGGGCGUAAAGCGCGCGCAGGCGGUCCUUUUAAGUCUGAUGUGAAAAGCCCCACGGCUCAACCGUGGAGGGUCAUUGGAAAACUGGGGGGACUUGAGUACAGAAGAGAAGAGUGGAAUUCCACGUGUAGCGGUGAAAUGCGUUGAGAUCCACAGGAACUCCGGUGGCGAAGGCGGCCCGCUGGACCCUUACUGACGCUGAGGCGCGAAAGCCAGGGGAGCGAACGGG
rnacentral:rRNA from 1 species